rnacentral:lncRNA from 1 species
UGUGUUGUUGUUGGGUAAGGCAUGAGUGUUAAGUGAAAUUACAUAUUAGCACCUGAGAUGAAAAAGAGAAAAAAAGGUAAAGUUGAAAUUAGUAGACAAUAUAUAUAGAUAAGAGGUUGUGACCAAAAAGCAGAAGCAAGUAAGUAAGUAAAGCAAAAAAUAAAUGUUACCUUUCUUGGUAUUUGGGAAAUGCUUUGUCUCUUUCAUCAAACUUCAAAGGUACUCCCGCUUGCUGAAUAGUAAUAGUAAAAGUUGCAUGUAAUUGUAAGUUUUCUAAUUCAGAUAAAAGGGUAAAAAUAAACAGUGCAAAUCAUAUAAACUAUGCUGUAUUACUGUGAUAACGUAUUGUU